UGAGAUUUAAAGAGCCGCAGUAUCCUGACUGUGCUAAGGUAGCAUAAUCAUUAGUCUUUUAAUUGGAGACUGGUAUGAAUGGUUAAACGAGAAAUCAACUUUUUUUGUUGUAAAGCUUGAAUUUAACUUUUUAGUGAAAAGGCUAAAAUUUUUCAAAAAGACGAGAAGACCCUAUAGAGUUUUAUAAUCAAGGGAAUAUUUCUUUCUUAGAUUUUUAUGAGAGGUAUUUACUGUAGUUAUUUUGUUGGGGCGACAUUUAGAUAUAAAAAACUCUUUAUUUUUAAAACUUUUAUGAAAGGCAAAUUGAUCCUUUAAAAAAGAUCAUAAGAAAAAAUUACCUUAGGGAUAACAGCGUAAUCUUUUUUGAGAGUUCUAAUCGACAAAAAGGUUUGCGACCUCGAUGUUGGACUAAAAUUAAGGCAGGGUGCAGCAGUUCUGCUAUAAGGUCUGUUCGACCUAUAAUUUUUUACACGAUCUGAGUUCAGACCGGCGUAAGCCAGGUUG
rnacentral:rRNA from 1 species